rnacentral:rRNA from 1 species
AGGAUUAGAUACCCUGGUAGUCCACGCCGUAAACGGUGGAUGCUGGAUGUGGGGCCCGUUCCACGGGUUCCGUGUCGGAGCUAACGCGUUAAGCAUCCCGCCUGGGGAGUACGGCCGCAAGGCUAAAACUCAAAGAAAUUGACGGGGGCCCGCACAAGCGGCGGAGCAUGCGGAUUAAUUCGAUGCAACGCGAAGAACCUUACCUGGGCUUGACAUGUUCCCGACGGUCGUAGAGAUACGGCUUCCCUUCGGGGCGGGUUCACAGGUGGUGCAUGGUCGUCGUCAGCUCGUGUCGUGAGAUGUUGGGUUAAGUCCCGCAACGAGCGCAACCCCCGCCCCGUGUUGCCAGCGGAUUAUGCCGGGAACUCACGGGGGACCGCCGGGGUUAACUCGGAGGAAGGUGGGGAUGACGUCAGAUCAUCAUGCCCCUUACGUCCAGGGCUUCACGCAUGCUACAAUGGCCGGUACAACGGGAUGCGACGCGGCGACGCGGAGCGGAUCCCUGAAAACCGGUCUCAGUUCGGAUCGCAGUCUGCAACUCGACUGCGUGAAGGCGGAGUCGCUAGUAAUCGCGAAUCAGCAACGUCGCGGUGAAUGCGUUCCCGGGCCUUGUACACACCGCCCGUCAAGUCAUGAAAGUGGGUAGCACCCGAAGCCGGUGGCCUAACCCUUCGUGGGAUGGAGCCGUCUAAGGUGAGACUCGUGAUUGGGACUAAGUCGUAACAAGGUAGCCGUACCGGAAGGUGCGGCUG